rnacentral:rRNA from 1 species
CCUACGGGAGGCUGCAGUGGGGAAUAUUGCACAAUGGGCGGAAGCCUGAUGCAGCCAUGCCGCGUGUAUGAAGGAGCCCUUCGGGCUGUAAAGUUCUUUCAGCCGGGAGGAAUAAUGACCAUACCUGACCAUGAAGCACUGGCUAAAUACGUACCAGCAGCCGCGGCCAUACGUGGGGUGCCAGCGUUAUCCGGAUUGACUGGGGGUACAGGGAGCGCAGGUGGUGCGUUAAGCCUGGGGUGAAAGCCCGGGGCCCAACCGAGGGGCUGCAUUCGGACCUGGCGCGCUGGAGUGCCGGAGGGGUAGGCGGAAUUCCUGGUGUAGCGGUGAAAUGCGUAGAGAUUAGGAGGAACACCGGUGGCGAAGGCGGCCGACUGGACGGAGACUGACGCUGAGGCGCGAAAGCGUGGGGAGCAAACAGGAUUAGAUACCCCGGUAGUC